rnacentral:rRNA from 1 species
AACGAACGCUGGCGGCAGGCCUAACACAUGCAAGUCGAGCGGACCCUUCGGGGUUAGCGGCGGACGGGUGAGUAACGCGUGGGAAUAUGCCCUUCUCUACGGAAUAGUCCUGGGAAACUGGGGGUAAUACCGUAUACGCCCUUUGGGGGAAAGAUUUAUCGGGGAAGGAUUAGCCCGCGUUGGAUUAGGUAGUUGGUGGGGUAAUGGCCUACCAGGCCGACGAUCCAUAGCUGGUUUGAGAGGAUGAUCAGCCACACUGGGACUGAGACACGGCCCAGACUCCUACGGGAGGCAGCAGUGGGGAAUCUUAGACAAUGGGGGCAACCCUGAUCUAGCCAUGCCGCGUGAGUGAUGAAGGCCUUAGGGUUGUAAAGCUCUUUCAGCUGGGAAGAUAAUGACGGUACCAGCAGAAGAAGCCCCGGCUAACUCCGUG